AUUGAACGCUGGCGGCAGGCUUAACACAUGCAAGUCGAGCGAGCGGCGGACGGGUGAGUAAUGUCUGGGAAACUGCCUGAUGGAGGGGGAUAACUACUGGAAACGGUAGCUAAUACCGCAUACCAUCAGAUGUGCCCAGAUGGGAUUAGCUAGUGGGUGGGGUAAUGGCUCACCUAGGCGACGAUCCCUAGCUGGUCUGAGAGGAUGACCAGCCACACUGUAACUGAGAAACGGUCCAGACUCCUACUGGAGGCAGCAGUGGGGAAUAUUGCACAAUGGGCGCAAGCCUGAUGCAGCCAUGCCGCGUGUGUGAAGAAGUCCUUCGGGUUGUAAAGUACUUUCAGCGGGGAGGCGUUACGCGCAGAAGAAGCACCGGCUAACUCCGUGCCAGCCGCCGCGGUAAUAC
rnacentral:rRNA from 1 species